UCGUAUGACGGAGGUGCCGGGGCUGUCGCUAACUUUGUGCACGCCCUGGUGCUCUCUCGCAAAAUCCAUCUCACCCCCUUUGUGCAUCACCGCGUGGGUGCUCUCCUUUUCGGGAGGGCUCGCGUUUUCACACAAAACUCGAUACAGUGUAGAAUGUUUACUUUUGCGGUCGCACGCAAUCAAUA
rnacentral:misc_RNA from 1 species